rnacentral:rRNA from 1 species
UGGGGAAUAUUGCACAAUGGGCGCAAGCCUGAUGCAGCCAUGCCGCGUGUGUGAAGAAGGCCUUCGGGUUGUAAAGCACUUUCAGCGGGGAGGAAGGCGUUAAGGUUAAUAACCUUGGCGAUUGACGUUACCCGCAGAAGAAGCACCGGCUAACUCCGUGCCAGCAGCCGCGGUAAUACGGAGGGUGCAAGCGUUAAUCGGAAUUACUGGGCGUAAAGCGCACGCAGGCGGUCUGUCAAGUCGGAUGUGAAAUCCCCGGGCUCAACCUGGGAACUUCAUUCGAAACUGGCGGGCUAGAGUCUUGUAGAGGGGGGUAGAAUUCCAGGUGUAGCGGUGAAAUGCGUAGGGAUCUGGAGGAAUACCGGUGGCGAAGGCGGCCCCCUGGACAAAGACUGACGCUCAGGUGCGAAAGCGUGGGGAGCAAACAGG